ACCCGCACAAGCGGUGGAUGAUGUGGUUUAAUUCGAUNCAACGCGAACCUUACCCACCUNUGACAUGGCAGGAAGUUNUCAGAGAUGGAUUCGUGCCCGAAGGGAACCUGCACACAGGUGCUGCAUGGCUGUCGUCAGCUCGUGUCGUGAGAUGUUGGGUUAAGUCCCGCAACGAGCGCAACCCUUGCCAUUAGUUGCUACGAAAGGGCACUCUAAUGGGACUGCCGGUGACAAACCGGANNAAGGUGGGGAUGACGUCAAGUCCUCAUGGCCCUUAUAGGUGGGGCUACACACGUCAUACAAUGGCUGGUACAGAGGGUUGCCAACCCGCGAGGGGGAGCUAAUCCCAUAAAGCCAGUCGUAGUCCGGAUCGCAGUCUGCAACUCGACUGCGUGAAGUCGGAAUCGCUAGUAAUCGCGGAUCAGAAUGUCGCGGUGAAUACGUUCCMGGGUCUUGUACACACCGCCCGUCACACCAUGGGAGCGGGUUCUGCCAGAAGUAGGUAGCCUAACCGUAAGGAGGG
rnacentral:rRNA from 1 species